CGUCAAUUCAGCACCCCCCUCCCCAUGCAACCCACAAACACAGAGGAGCAAACGAAGCCCCACGCGAAACACCCUCCUCACACCGCUCCGUGCCCCGGCGCAUGUUCUGAGGUUCUCCAUCCAGAAGGCGAUUCAGCCAUGAUGUUUUGCCAUACUGGAUCACCUUCUCUCAAGCACUUCACAGCACUGCAGUAAGACCCAAAGAGGAGCACCGUGGAGCUCAGAAGCUUGU